rnacentral:rRNA from 1 species
GACGAACGCUGGCGGCGUGCUUAACACAUGCAAGUCGAACGGUGAAGCGCCUUCCUUUUUGGUGGGUGUGGAUGAGUGGCGAACGGGUGAGUAACACGUGAGUAACCUGCCCCCUUCUUCUGGAUAACCGCAUGAAAGUGUGGCUAAUACGGGAUAUUCUGGGUCUGUCGCAUGAUGGGUCUGGGAAAGAUAUUGUUUCGGUGGGGGAUGGGCUCGCGGCCUACCAGCUUGUUGGUGGGGUGAUGGCCUACCAAGGCGGUGACGGGUAGCCGGCCUGAGAGGGUUGACGGUCACACUGAGACUGAGACACGGCCGAGACUCAUACGGGAGGCAGCAGUGGGGAAUAUUGCACAAUGGGCGCAAGCCUGAUGCAGCGACGCCGCGUGAGGGAUGGAGGCCUUCGGGUUGUGAACCUCUUUCGCCAGUGAAGCAGGCCUGCCUCGUUUGUGGGUGGGUUGACGGUAGCUGGAUAAGAAGCGCCGGCUAAAUACGUGC